rnacentral:rRNA from 1 species
GACGAACGCUGGCGGCGUGCCUAAUACAUGCAAGUUGAGCGCUGAAGGUUGGUACUUGUACCAACUGGAUGAGCAGCGCACGGGUGAGUAACGCGUGGGGAAUCUGCCUUUGAGCGGGGGACAACAUUUGGAAACGAAUGCUAAUACCGCAUAAAAACUUUAAACACAAGUUUUAAGUUUGAAAGAUGCAAUUGCAUCACUCAAAGAUGAUCCCGCGUUGUAUUAGCUAGUUGGUGAGGUAAAGGCUCACCAAGGCGAUGAUACAUAGCCGACCUGAGAGGGUGAUCGGCCACAUUGGGACUGUGACACGGCCCAAACUCCUUCGGGAGGCAGCAGUAGGGAUUCUUCGGCAAUGGACGAAAGUCUGACCGAGCAACGCCGCGGGAGGGAAGAAGGUUGUCGGAUCGUAAAACUCUGUUGGUAGAGAAGAACGUUGGUGAGAGUGGAAAGCUCAUCAAGUGACGGUAACUACCCAGAAAGGGACGGCUAACUACGUG